UAAAUGCAGAUGCUGCAAAUUGAUGGAGGCCUGGUGUCUUCCAGAGUGGAGGUAAAGGCUGGCUGAGGAAUCAGUGAGGCCAGGAAGAGGGCUCAGCUGAGCAACUGAUCAAAGCAUCCCUCUUCAGGAAGGAGCUUCCUGUGUUUUCUCUGGGAACUCACCUGUUUUCCACUCCAGGUCAUUCCAUAGUCUCUGUGAAAGUGAUAUUAUCCCUGUUGGUCCUCCUCAGACUCUCCAAGAUAUGCAGAGCUUUGGGCCAGGAUCCUACAGCCACGGGUCAUGCAGAGCCAGUUGGCCACAUCCUUUGGGCCAAAUUUGGUCCUAACCAGGUCUUACCACGGUAACUGCUAACCAGUCCAUCUUCAGUUAAUAUUUCAUGCGUAAGAUGUUUCAUGAAGUAACUGAAUGGGCUAAUGGGUUGUUCACUGGAUAAGACUCCCAGAUACUCCCUUUCAUGCCAUUCCCCAGAAUUCCUUCACCUCCCAGUGCUGUCUGUAAGGGUGAAGAUACUCCAUUUUGCCCCAUGCUCUUUGCUGUGCCCCAGAUAGGCUCAAACAUUUUUCCCUUUUGGGGAUUUUGCAGGUAGGAAUUGUUGAACAUCUUACCAUUUAAUCCAGAAGUUAUGUCCUUUAAGGAAUCGACCCUGAGCCUGUGAGUUUUACUUUGGGUUGGGGGUGAAGGAGUGGACCUUGCAGCAUUCAAGGUCAUCCAAGAUCAUCCAGUUAAGGCCCCUAAGGUCACUACGGGGGGAAAAGCCUGGUGAGGGAAGAGAAAGCAUUAGGGGGAGCUGCACCGUGCUGAGAAAUAACACCACACAGAAGUCUGUGUUCUAAUCUCAGCUCUGCUUUGCAUUACUGUGUGACCUGGAGCUGAUCACAGCCCUCUGAGUCUUAAAGGGGUUGGACAAGGCCAACUAAACAUUAGAAACACCUGAAAGUGCUGGUUAAAAGGAAGAAUGCAUGAGCUUCACUCCAGAUUUACUAUAUCAGAAUUUCCAGGGUCAGGGUCCAAGAAUCUGCAUGUUUAAUACGCUUUCCACAUGAUUUUUCCCCCCUCUGGACUUAAGAAAACAAUGGGCAAGUCAGCUCAUGAAGAACUUUUCAGAUAUUCAGACUAUUAUUCUGAGAGAGAAAAUAUUGGCAGAGAACAGAUGGGAUUUUUCUCAAGGAAAAGAAAUGGAAAUCCUACAUCUUGCAAGAAAUAGAAAAAAAUAAAUAAACUGUUUGAAGAAGAAUCACAUCAGGCUGGCAGGAGAGAGCCUGCGGCUCGGUGUCUGACCCAGAAUGUUAAAGCCAGCCUGGCUUGGCUCCAGGAUAAAGGACACUCUGUCAGCCUCUCCACAUUGAUUCAUCUCCCCAGCCCCAAGAUCAGGAGAGCAUUCUGUUCCUUGAAGCAUUUUAUGACUGUAAGUCAGAAGUGCUGCAGUUUUAAUAAAAAGCUGUAUUGUCCUGAUCUUGUGCAAUAUACUGAACUAUCAUUUUCCAACUGUUGGCUUGCAUACUGGUUUGUGUGAGUAAGCCCGUCCAUCCACAUCACUAAAAGAUAGUAGUAGUAACAACAAUGAC
rnacentral:lncRNA from 1 species